GUCGGGAUAGCUCAGGCGGUAGAGCAGAGGACUGAAAAUCCUCGUGUCA
rnacentral:tRNA from 1 species